rnacentral:rRNA from 1 species
AUUGAACGCUGGCGGAAUGCUUUACACAUGCAAGUCGAACGGCAGCACGGGGGCAGCCCUGGUGGCGAGUGGCGAACGGGUGAGUAAUACAUCGGAACGUGCCCGGUCGUGGGGGAUAACGUAGCGAAAGUUACGCUAAUACCGCAUACGAUCUGAGGAUGAAAGCGGGGGACCUUCGGGCCUCGCGCGAUCGGAGCGGCCGAUGUCAGAUUAGGUAGUUGGUGGGGUAAAGGCCUACCAAGCCGACGAUCUGUAGCUGGUCUGAGAGGACGACCAGCCACACUGGGACUGAGACACGGCCCAGACUCCUACGGGAGGCAGCAGUGGGGAAUUUUGGACAAUGGGCGCAAGCCUGAUCCAGCCAGUCUGCGUGCAGGACGAAGGCCUUCGGGUUGUAAACUGCUUUUGUACGGAACGAAAAGGCUCUGGCUAAUACCUGGGGCUCAUGACGGUACCGUAAGAAUAAGCACCGGCUAACUACG